UGUCACGAGCGCCAGCGUCAAGCCCCGGCUUGCUGGCCGGCAACCCUCCUCCGCGGUGGGGUGCCCCGGGUGAGGACACGGCUGGCGUCUGACCGGGCGCCGGCAAGCGCGGACC
rfam:Friedmanniella luteola strain DSM 21741 genome assembly, chromosome: I